CCCUGCGUCUCCGGCUCCUGCGCCGGCUGCCAUUUUGAGUUGUACCCCCGCCUGCUACUCCGGCUAGUCCCGGCGCCGCCCUCCACCUUUCUGUCGACGUGUCGAUUUUUCGUCCCGUGCCAACCCGGCGAGCUCCAGCGCCGAGUGCCAUUGCCCCCCUCCUGCCGUAAUGGUGGUAGCCUGUCGCCGCUGUGCCGUGUCCUCGACUCACCCGCCUCCGGCUAUCAUCGUGAGACGCUGCCCUGAUGGAGUCUUCUGGGACAUAAUCGUCUCCCAUGCUGCCUGCUUCAAUUUCCCUUUUGUGCUCUCGUGCGCCUCACCCAUCUCCAGUGCGACUCCUCCCCAGUGCUCCUCCCUGCAGAUUUGACAGCGUCCGUGCCGCCUCCCUCUCGCCACUGGCAGUGACAGCAGAUCUACUCGGUCUCUCCUGUUUCCUGCGGAAUGAUCUCUUGUGGGAGUUAUACUUUCCUAACUGAUUACCACUUCAAGUCACAUAGUUAAGCGAUGAAGGGAUCAGUCCUGCUGCCUUCCUGCAGAGCCCAUUCUGACUGAAGCUGGUGGAGACGAGCAGAAGGCUGAUAACAUGACGUGAAUCCCCCAAUCUCUGCUGACUUCGACUCAAACACAGCCUUUUCGAGUAUCCUUUGUAUAGGUGUCGGGCGCCAGGACCAUCUUCUUGUCAAACCUAUAUGGGCGGAGCUCCAAGAUCACAUUAUAGCACAUGGUCGGAAGAAACAAGCUUGACCUUUGUUUGCAUUAUUGAAGACGUCAAAUAAGCUUUCAGAUAAUGUUGAAGGAAGUGUAGAAAAUUAAAGUUAGCUUGAUGGUUCAUGUCUUCCGGAGACAUCCCUUUGUAUGCCUGCAAUGUGAUCCUUACUAACCCUUCUUAUGGUGUGAUAAUGUGAAAGAAAUUAAAUGCGAGAUGCAGCCAUGCAGGGGAAGGGUAUAUGCAUUUUUUUCUUUCCUUAACUUGUAUGCCAAUCAAUGGCUAGAUUCUAGAUUCAAAUUACAGUUAUGUAAGUUCUUUCCUCUAUCCUUUUAAUUAAUUCAUAUAGUUAUCUCUUUUAA